UACACUCUCAAACAGGAAACACGUGACCUCCACUAGCGGGCAAGCGGAAAUACGUCACCUCCACUAGCGGGCAAGCGGAAAUACGUCACCUCCACUUGAAUUUAUGAGAUGAAGAUGGCGUCACCGGGAGCUCUUAUUUCGAACUUUAAUUCAGGUAACGUUAUGUGGAAAGCAUGAUGCAGAUAUUUGACAGUUUUUGAUGGUACCUACACUCCCAGCAAACGAUGUUGCAGUGGCUACUGACAUUUUGCAGUUGCCAGAUGAUAUUCUCCAGAGGAUCCUUGUCUUUGUUGUUCUAGAAGACGGCUGCUCUGCAAUCCGGCUGGCUUUAACAAGACAGAGAUUCAGCAAACAUUGACAGCCAGGAGCAUUUUCAGCAGGAGGAACACUUCAGCUGGCCUUAUAGUGUAGUGAAUUGAAAUAGACUGUCAAAGAGACACCGGAGAAUGUACAGAAAACCGUAAAUCAUCUCUAGGUGCAGCCGCCUACAGUGCAGCAAGUUUUCAAAGACUAUGGGGCUGGCUUCUGGGGAAAUGAACAACGUGGAGUGCUUUUGGGGUUUUACUCCUCAGAUGACCACCCUGGCUACUGGGAUUGCUUCAUAGACAGAAUAGUUUGUGCAGGCACGAUGUGUCUUUACUCUAACACUUGUGGUCACUUAAAGUUCAUGUAUGUUGUUAAAAUAGCAUAAGAUGGUUUUUGUAUUUACUCAAAAACAAUUAAAAUUGGUAAAAUUGUGGAAAUUGUGGAUUCUUCAUUAUUUCACUUUAGCUGAUUUGUAUAUGAGCAAUUCCUUGCAAAUGUUAAACUUAUCACGAAAAGUAAAGUUUUUAAUCACACUGGUUACUCAUAUGUCAAUAUAUACAUGGUUUAAAUACCCAUGCAAUGUCUGUUAAAAGUUUUAAGCAUUUUCCCCCAUACUUUGAUAUUUUCAAAGAAAAUGUCAUAAUUGUCACGUCUGUAAAUCUUUUUAUUCCUCAUAAAUGUGCAUACAAAAAUUUAAAUAAAUAUAGUUUGUUCUUUGAA